CUCCUCCUCCUCGGAAUCCGGGAAUGGAGGGGUGGGGGUGAGUCCACCUCCCAACCUGCCUGCUUCUCCCGGAAGUGGAGCUUCUGUGCCGGAUUGCUGCUCUGCGCCGUAGCUCUAGGGGCGCGCGCUUUCGGAAAGGGGAGGAGGGGCGGCAGGGGAGGACACCCCCCCCCCCUGGAAAUUGCAGAAUCUGGAGCGAGGAGAAAGAGGCAGUGUCAGAGUGAUUGACAAGCUGAGAUACAAUCCUUCAGCAUCUGAUGAUAGCAAUUGCAGGAAUCUUCCCAGUCAAAGGACCCAUUUUCAUGCUAUACAGUGCCUGUGGCUGGAGGCUCUACAUGCAAGGUGUGCCUAUACAGGCCAGUAUUAGCACAGGGUGUGCCUUCACCUGCAGCAGAAUUCCUGAACCCACCAAGGAUUUGAGACCCAUCAGGUAUCCUCACCUGGUCUAGCCGGCCGGUUGAAGUCGUUCCUGAGAUUGCGGCCCAUUUUGCAUGCUGACAGCUUCUGGAAGCCACAGGAUUUCCUUUCCUCCCACUUUGAAGAAGGUGAUGGAGAAGACAUUCAGAAUUCUAAGGGAUGGUACACUUUAUUUCAUUAGGUAGAGACAUUAAAAUGUGUGAGAUGUGGAAUAUGCUUCACUGAAUGAGCACACAUAGCUCACAUCAGCGAUCUCAAGAAGGGGAGAAACCAUUUAAAGGUAUGGAGAGUGAGAAAA